GGAAUAUUGGUCAACGGGCGCAAGCCUGAACCAGCCAUGCCGCGUGCAGGAAGACGGUCCUAUGGAUUGUAAACUGCUUUUAUACAGGAAGAAACCUCCCUACGUGUAGGGACUUGACGGUACUGUAGGAAUAAGGAACGGCUAACCCCCUGCCAGCAGCCGCGGUAAUACGGACGAUCCAAGCGUUAUCCGGAAUCAUUGGGUUUAAAGGGUCCGUAGGCGGCCUUAUAGGUCAGUGGUGAAAUCUCCUAGCUCAACUAGGAAACUGCCAUUGAUACUGUAGGGCUUGAGUUUUUGUGAAGUAACUAGAAUAUGUAGUGUAGCGGUGAAAUGCUUAGAUAUUACAUGGAAUACCAAGUGCGAAGGCAGGUUACUAACAAACGAUUGACGCUGAUGGACGAAAGCGUGGGGAGCGAAC
rnacentral:rRNA from 1 species